rnacentral:rRNA from 1 species
GUAACGGCGAGUGAAGCGGGAUGAGCUCAAAUUUAAAAUCUGGCUGGUUUACUAGUCCGAAUUGUAGUUUAUAGAAGCGUUUUCGGUGACAGCCUGGGUAUAAAUCCUUUGGAAUAGGGUAUCAUAGAGGGUGAGAAUCCCGUCUUUGACUCAGUGCAUGCUACUAUGUGAUACGUUUUCAAAGAGUCGAGUUGUUUGGGAAUGCAGCUCAAAAUGGGUGGUAAAUUUCAUCUAAGGCUAAAUAUUGGCGAGAGACCGAUAGCGAACAAGUACCGUGAGGGAAAGAUGAAAAGAACUUUGAAAAGAGAGUUAAACAGUGCGUGAAAUUGUUGAAAGGGAAACGCUUGACACCAGUUAUGCGGGUGGAAAAUCAGUCUUUUGCAAUGGGGAGUUGUGGGCGUUCAGACCGCAAGGCUGGCGUUUGCUUCAUCUUUGUUGUAAGUGAUGCACUUUUUCAUUUGCAGGUCAACAUCAGUUUGCUUUGCUGGACAAAACCCCAAGGGAAGGUGACAGCUUAGGCUGUGUUAUAGCCCUGGGGCGAUACAGUGGAGUGGACUGAGGUUUCGCAGUGUGUGCUCUCGGGCAAGGCUGACUGGGUGCUAUGGGAUCGUUCGGCGUACAAUGCAUGCAUUUUGCGUCGUGUCUUUUUCAUACUCGCUCAACUCGGCUCUUCCACGCUUAGGA